UACGAAGGGUGCAAGCGUUACUCGGAAUUACUGGGCGUAAAGCGUGCGUAGGUGGUUUUUUAAGUCCGUUGUGAAAGCCCUGGGCUCAACCUGGGAAUGGCAGUGGAUACUGGAAAGCUAGAGUGCGGUAGAGGGUAGUGGAAUUCCCGGUGUAGCAGUGAAAUGCGCAGAUAUCGGGAGGAACACCGGUGGCGAAGGCGGUUCUCUGGGCCUGUACUGACGCUGAGGAGCGAAAGCGUGGGGAGCGAACAGG
rnacentral:rRNA from 1 species